rnacentral:rRNA from 1 species
UAUGAGAGUUUGAUCCUGGCUCAGGACGAACGCUGGCGGCGUGCCUAAUACAUGCAAGUCGUACGCUUCUUUUUCCACCGGAGCUUGCUCCACCGGAAAAAGAAGAGUGGCGAACGGGUGAGUAACACGUGGGUAACCUGCCCAUCAGAAGGGGAUAACACUUGGAAACAGGUGCUAAUACCGUAUAACAAUCGAAACCGCAUGGUUUUGAUUUGAAAGGCGCUUUCGGGUGUCGCUGAUGGAUGGACCCGCGGUGCAUUAGCUAGUUGGUGAGGUAACGGCUCACCAAGGCUACGAUGCAUAGCCGACCUGAGAGGGUGAUCGGCCACAUUGGGACUGAGACACGGCCCAAACUCCUACGGGAGGCAGCAGUAGGGAAUCUUCGGCAAUGGACGAAAGUCUGACCGAGCAACGCCGCGUGAGUGAAGAAGGUUUUCGGAUCGUAAAACUCUGUUGUUAGAGAAGAACAAGGAUGAGAGUAACUGUUCAUCCCUUGACGGUAUCUAACCAGAAAGCCACGGCUAACUACGUGCCAGCAGCCGCGGUAAUACGUAGGUGGCAAGCGUUGUCCGGAUUUAUUGGGCGUAAAGCGAGCGCAGGCGGUUUCUUAAGUCUGAUGUGAAAGCCCCCGGCUCAACCGGGGAGGGUCAUUGGAAACUGGGAGACUUGAGUGCAGAAGAGGAGAGUGGAAUUCCAUGUGUAGCGGUGAAAUGCGUAGAUAUAUGGAGGAACACCAGUGGCGAAGGCGGCUCUCUGGUCUGUAACUGACGCUGAGGCUCGAAAGCGUGGGGAGCAAACAGGAUUAGAUACCCUGGUAGUCCACGCCGUAAACGAUGAGUGCUAAGUGUUGGAGGGUUUCCGCCCUUCAGUGCUGCAGCUAACGCAUUAAGCACUCCGCCUGGGGAGUACGACCGCAAGGUUGAAACUCAAAGGAAUUGACGGGGGCCCGCACAAGCGGUGGAGCAUGUGGUUUAAUUCGAAGCAACGCGAAGAACCUUACCAGGUCUUGACAUCCUUUGACCACUCUAGAGAUAGAGCUUCCCCUUCGGGGGCAAAGUGACAGGUGGUGCAUGGUUGUCGUCAGCUCGUGUCGUGAGAUGUUGGGUUAAGUCCCGCAACGAGCGCAACCCUUAUUGUUAGUUGCCAUCAUUUAGUUGGGCACUCUAGCAAGACUGCCGGUGACAAACCGGAGGAAGGUGGGGAUGACGUCAAAUCAUCAUGCCCCUUAUGACCUGGGCUACACACGUGCUACAAUGGGAAGUACAACGAGUCGCGAAGCCGCGAGGCUAAGCUAAUCUCUUAAAGCUUCUCUCAGUUCGGAUUGUAGGCUGCAACUCGCCUACAUGAAGCCGGAAUCGCUAGUAAUCGCGGAUCAGCACGCCGCGGUGAAUACGUUCCCGGGCCUUGUACACACCGCCCGUCACACCACGAGAGUUUGUAACACCCGAAGUCGGUGAGGUAACCUUUUGGAGCCAGCCGCCUAAGGUGGGAUAGAUGAUUGGGGUGAAGUCGUAACAAGGUAGCCGUAUCGGAAGGUGCGGCUGGAUCACCUCCUUUCUAAGGAA